GGGAAUUGUCAGCACUCUCCAGGGAAGGAGGGGGCAGGUCUGUUCGGGAUGGGACAGUGAGAGGACAUCAAGCCACAGUGGACUGGGUCUGGGAGCAAAGUUCUUUCCCAAACCUCAGUUAGAAUGGUUUUUGUCACCUGCACACCAAACCAACCUGGAUGACCUGGUCUCUAGCCCAGCUCUCUGCUCAUCAUUCAUGUGAUGCCAAGUCAGGUCUUAGCAUUAUUUCUUCUCAAAAAGAGGCAUGGCGAAGCAUCGAGAGCCAAGCAAAUGAAGACAAUGACCCUCUAAGUAAAUUAGAAAGAUCUGAGCAGAGCAAAAGAUAACUGGUUUUUGUCUUGUAUUGUUUUGUUUUGGUGAGGAAGAUUGGCCCUGAGCUAACAUCUGUUGCCAAUCUUCCUCCUUUUUUCUCUUCUUUUUUCUCCAAAGCCCCAGUACAUAGUUAUAUAUCUUAGUUGUAAAUCCUUCUAGUUCUUCUAUGUGGGAUGGCGCCUCAGCAUGGCUUGAUGAGCGGUGUGUAGGUCCGCGCUCAGGAUCCGAACUGGCAAACCCUGGGCCACCGAAGCGGAGCACACAAACUUAACCACUAUGCCACCGGGCUGGCCCUGAGGUUUUAUUUUUAAAUAUAAAAACAUUGUAUAAGGCAAUUUCAGAAUCAAUAUCAUUAACGGUGUCCUUAAACUAAUAUUCUGUUAGAUAAGUUAUUGAAACUAUUGGUGACCCAGUUUUUUCAUCAUUACCAAAUGGGCAUGUGACAUGACCUUGUAGGACUAAUGUCAAGUUGAUGCAAAAUUACUGAGGAGCUAUAGAAACAUAAAGGGGGGUCACACAAGCAAACAAUAUCACACAGUGGAGAAGAAAGCAAGGGCUUCACAGUCAGUCAGACUUGCAUUUGAAUUCCACCUCUGUGGCUGUGUGACCUUGGGCAGGUUGCUUAACCUCUCUGAGCCUCAGUUUCACCCUUGGUCUAAUGGAGACAAUACUAAACUCUAUGCCACAGGGUUAUCGUGAGGAAUAAAUGAUAUACUACAUGUAAACCGUUUAGCCCAGUGUCAGGCACACAAGAAGCCUUCAAUAACUGAUAGCUACUGUUCGCAGUUUUAUGACAGGUCACCCAGAGAGAGGUCAAUGCUACUUCUUGGUAGGAGGCACCCCUCCAACCCCAUUUCUCACAGUAUAAGCAAUCCCGUGACCUCCCCCUCCCUGCCUCCCCUAAGUCUGUGGGCUGCCUGGUACUGGCCAUCCUUCUCUUUCCUUCUCAUCUUCCCAUCAAAGGUUCACUUUCAAGAUUCAAAGCUUUGGCUGGAAUGAGCUCGCAGCCUCCCAGGACCUCGGAACGAGCGGGCUCUUCUGACCCUUGAAGCUUUUAGUCCCCUCCUUGUCCCAGUAAGUUUGAUCAGGAUGUGGCAUUCAAAGGGCCUCGCCCUACUCCCCUCCAAGGCUUCUUUCCCGGCCUUGGGCGACCCCCGACACUCGCCAUCUGCCCUCUGCUGACCGCCCAGGAGGGACCUCCAGCCUGGCACACCAGGCCCCAGGUGCUGACGGCUGCUCUCUGCGAGGCUUUAUCCUCAGUCCCCCAGGAGCUCUUGGAAGCUGUGCUGUCUGAUGCGGUAGCCGCUAGUCACAUGUGCUUACUUACAUUUAAUUAAUAAAAUUAAAUAAAAUUUGGAAAUCAGUUCCUCUGCCGUACCAGCCACAUUUCCAGUGCUUGGUAGACACACGAGGCUAGGGGCCACCCCUGUGGGGUCCACGUGGCCAUCAUGGCAGAAAGGUCUCCUGAGCAGUGCUGGAACAGGUGAGGAAACUGAGGCAGGGUCGUGCAGCUGUGCAGUCAAGCCAGGACUGGUGCCCAGGCCUCUGAGUCCAAACCACCAGACCUGUCACUUCUGCAAGUGCCCAGCACUGGGCUGGGGUCCAAGGACAGAAAGACGGGUGAACUUAGAGGACAGAGACGAGUAACAAAAAAUGACAGUAUCCCAUAGCAACCCACGGAGCUGUGGGCUCAGGGACACCUCAGCCACUGAGCUGAGAAUUCCUGACCUCUGGACUUCACUCCCCUUGAUCAACAGAACUUUCCAGAACUGCAUUGCCCAAUACGGAAGCCACAGGCUACAGGCAGUUUUCGAGCCCUGGAAAUGUGAUGGGUCUGCCUUGAGACAAAUUUACAACGAGGUCUGUGGCUCACAGUGUGUUUCUACUGGUCGGCCCUGCUCUAGAUGGCCUACUGUGUGCUCGUCCCUGAGAGCUACAGAGGCCGCAGAGCAGAACCAGAAGAGAGUUCGGCUCCUGGCUGCCUGCAGCCGGCUGUGAGAGCCCAGACAAGGGACACGCUGCUCUGGGAUCGGUCUCCGGAGCUGCCCACGCGCUCCGAGCGUCCAGCGGCCCUGUCUUCUGUACAGGGGUCCUGGGAAGCUGCGCACAGGAGAGCCAGGUGCCCGGAUCUGGGGCCUUAAGCAAGAGACUAAUCUUCUCUGCUUCCUCAUCUGUAAAAUGGAAAUAAUAAUGAUCCCUG
ensembl:lncRNA